CUCCCGCAGAGCUGCGUGGUCAGCGCAGGCGCAGCUGUAUCCUGCAAGGAACUCUGGUGCGAAGGCGGGAUGCAAAGCCUCUGAGUAUGGCACCCUGUGAGCCACUGACAGCAGAAAGGAACAAAAAGUUCCUUUGCUCUGGACUUCUAUCACGAUUCUGGGAACUGGGAGAGAGCUGUGAACAAGAGGCAAAGCACCCAGCUCCCUCAUUGAGUGGGUCGGAUGGAAAGUAAGUCAACAGGCCACGAAGGUCCGCAAGACAAAGCCCACAUCAUUCACAACAGAACCUGGCUUCUCUUUCUGGGAUGCUGGAGAGAGGAUGCACCUGAUGGGCACGUGCUGCUCCAGAUGCAGUUACUUCCUGGACGAUCAUCCACCCGGCGUCCACCUGACCCGCAGCACCCCAGUUCAUCUGAGUUUGGAGCAGAGAAAGCUUAAGAAGCUCUGAUAACAGAAAAGGAUUUUUGCCAGUUUAUCCACUAAACCCAGAGAAAGAGUGACUCAGAAUGGGAAUUCCCAAGGAAUCUGAUGGUGGAGGAAAGAGGUCAAGAAAGGAAGAAAACAAAUCAAGAGGAAAGACCAGAGAGGGAAGAAAUAAAGAUUACGCUGUAAGUACCAGGGAACCAGGAAAAAAGAAAUGGGGCAAAGAAGACCUGGGAGGAAGUGGUAGAGUUCAAGACUACAAGACUACUUCUGUACCACUCUUUGAUUCUAGAACCAUCUUCCUCAUAUCAUCCUACAAAGCCACAAAGAACAGGGA